rnacentral:lncRNA from 1 species
GGACAGGCCAUGGAGAAUCAGCCGAGAAUUAGGUGGUAAUACUGGCUCAGUGCUCAUGUUCUGAUUUUGAUCAUUGCACUGUGGUUAUCUGGAUGUUGUUUUGGGGAAACACAUGGUACAGUAUUUGGGGUGAAAGAGCGUGGUGUAUGGGCCUACAGAGAUAGUAAAUAUGUGGAUGGACAGAUGUAUGGAUCCGUAGAGAAAGUGAAUGUGAAUGCUAGAUGGAUGGAUGCAUGAAUCCAUAAAGAAAGUGAAUGUGUGCAUGGAUGGAUGAAUGCAUGGAUGGACGAAUGCAUGGAUCCACAGAGAGUGAAUGCGUGGAUGGACGAGUGCAUAGGUCCAUAGAGAGAGUGAAUGCAUGGAUGGACAAGUGCAUGGAUCCACAGAGAGUGAAUGCAUGGAUAGUUGAGUGCGUGGAUCUGUAGAGAGAGUGAAUGCGUGGAUGGACGAGUGCAUGGAUCCACAGAGAGUGAAUGCAUGGAUAGACGAGUGCAUGGAUCCAUAGAGAGAGUGUAAUGCAUGGAUAGAUGAGUACAUGGAUCCGUAGAGACUGAAUGCAUGGAUGGACAGAUGCAUGGAUCCAUAGAGAGAGUGAUUGUGUGCAUGGAUGGAUGAAUGCAUGGAUGGAUGAAUGCAUGAAUCCACAGAGAGUGAAUGCAUGGAUGGAUAAGUGCAUGGAUCCAUAGGGAGAGUGAAUGCAUAGAUGGACGAGUGCAUGGAUCCACAGAGAGUGAAUGCAUGGAUGGACGAGUGCGUGGAUCCAUAGAGAGAGUGAAUGGAUGUGCAUGUGGAUGAAUGCAUGGAUCCUUAGAGAGAGUGAAUACGUGGAUGGACAGAUGCAUGUAUCCAUAGAGAGUGAAUGCAUGGAUGGACGAAUGCAUGGAUCCAUAGAGAGAGUGAAUGCAUGGAUGGAUGAGUGCAUGGAUCCAUAGAGAGAGUGAAUGGAUGCCUACAUGGAUGAAUGCAUGGAUCCAUAGAGAGAGUGAAUGGAUGUGUACAUGGAUGAACGCAUGGAUCUGUAGAGAGAGUGAAUGGAUGCGUACAUGGAUGAAUGCAUGGAUCCGUAGAGAGAGUGAAUGGAUGUGCAUGUGGAUGAAUGCAUGGAUCCUUAGAGAGAGUGAAUACGUGGAUGGACAGAUGCAUGUAUCCAUAGAGAGUGAAUGCAUGGAUGGACGAAUGCAUGGAUCCAUAGAGAGAGUGAAUGCAUGGAUGGAUGAAUGCAUGGAUCCAUAGAGAGAGUGAAUGGAUGUGUACAUGGAUGAAUGCAUGGAUCCAUAGAGAGAGUGAAUGGAUGCGUACAUGGAUGAAUGCAUGGAUCCAUAGAGUGAAUGUAUGCGUACAUGGAUGAAUGCAUGGAUCCAUAGAGAGAGUGAAUGGAUGUGUACAUGGAUGAAUGCAUGGAUCCGUAGAGAGAGUGAAUGGAUGGGUACAUGGAUGAAUGCAUGGAUCCAUAGAGAGAGUGAAUGGAUGCAUACAUGGAUGAAUGCAUGGAUCUGUAGAGAGAGUGAAUGCAUGGAUGGAUGAAUGCAUGGAUCCAUAGAGAGAGUGAAUGGAUGCGUACAUGGAUGAAUGCAUGGAUCCAUAGAGAGAGUGAAUGGAUGUGUACAUGGAUGAAUGCAUGGAUCCAUAGAGAGAGCGAAUGGAUGUGUACAUGGAUGAAUGCAUGGAUCCAUAGAGAGAGUGAAUGGAUGUGUACAUGGAUGAAUGCAUGGAUCUGUAGAGAGAGUGAAUGGAUGUGUACAUGGAUGAAUGCAUGGAUCCAUAGAGAGAGUGAAUGGAUGUGUACAUGGAUGAAUGCAUGGAUCUGUAGAGAGAGUGAAUGCGUACAUGGAUGAAUGCAUGGAUCUGUAGAGAGAGUGAAUGCGUACAUGGAUGAAUGCAUGGAUCCAUAGAGAGAGUGAAUGGAUGUGUACAUGGAUGAAUGCAUGGAUCUGUAGAGAGGGUGAAUGCGUACAUGGAUGAAUGCAUGGAUCCAUAGAGAGAGUGAAUGGAUGUGUACAUGGUUGAAUGCGUGGAUCUGUAGAGAGAGUGAAAGUGUGCAUGGACGAAUUCAUGACACACAGAUGGGCCGGAAUAUAAGUAAUUGGAUAAAUGAGGUAAAGGAUAUGUAGAUGUUCUUUUUAAUGCUUGUACACUUUUUUCAAGGUUUGAAAUUAUAUCACAAUAACAAGUUGUCCG